UACGUAGGGUGCAAACGUUGUCCGGAAUUAUUGGGCGUAAAGGGCUCGUAGGCGGUCCAUCGCGUCGGGAGUGAAAAGCUGGGGCUUAACCCCAGUCCUGCUUCCGAUACGGGUGGACUAGAGGUAGGCAGGGGAGAACGGAAUUCCUGGUGUAGCGGUGAAAUGCGCAGAUAUCAGGAGGAACACCAAUUGCGAAGGCAGCUCGCUGGGACGUUACUGACGCUGAGACGCGAAAGCGUGGGGAGCAAACAGG
rnacentral:rRNA from 1 species